AUGAGUGUGUUCAGACUACCUGCGUCAGUAUGUGAUGAUCUAACCAAGAUGAUGAGAUAGUAUUGGUGGGGGGUGGAAAAUGGCAAGAGAAAGAUGGCAUGGCUAAGCUGGGAGAAGAUGAUGCUACCCAAGGCCAUGGGGGGCAUGGGAUUCCGAGACCUAAGGGCUUUUAAUCAGGCUUUGCCUGCCAAGCAGGCCUGGCGCCUACUAGAUAGCCUAGAUAGCCUAUGCGCGAGGUUAUUGAAGGCCAAAUUUUACCCGAGGGCAAACCUGCUGGACACUGUUUUUUCUUCAAACUGUUCGGCGAUUUGGAAAGGUAUUGUUCACGGACUUGAGCCUGUGAAGAAAGGCAUUAUAUGGCGUGUUGGCAAUGGCACACUGAUAAAGACUUGGAGGGAUGAUUGGAUCCCGCGCGGACACAAUAUCAGACCGAUCACACCUAAAAGGAAUUGUCGUUACAAUUGGGUGGCUGAUUUUUUGAACAAACAUGGUGCAUGGAAUGUGGAACGACUUAGGGAGAUUUUUUGGGACAUGGAUGUAAGGGAGAUUUUGAAGAUCCAAACGUCUCCAAGGAAUGGGAAGGACUUCGUUGCUUGGUUUCCGGAGCGGUCUGGGCAGUUCACUGUCCAUAGCGCUUAUCACCUGGCCACGGAAGUCCAGUACUCAGUGCAUCUUAGCUCGUCCAACAGCAAUUAUUCAGGUCGGAGGCCCAUUUGGCAGCGGAUUUGGAGCUCUUGAGUACCUCUGAAGAUGAGAAUCAUGGCGUGGAAGGCUGUUUCGGGGGCUCUCGCUACAAAUGAGUGCAAGAAAUACCGACACAUCUCUACUAGAGAUGGCUGUCCGGUGUGCGGCCGAGAGAAGGAGACUAGCUUUCAUGCUCUUGUUUCAUGCGAACAUGCUAGGAGGAUCCGGGCUCAGAUGAGAACCGUAUGGCGACUACCUAGCCACGAUGUUCUUCGUGAUACAGGGAAGGAUUGGCUCUUAAACGUCCUUGCAAACUAUGAUGAUCACAUGCGGGACUGCAUGAUUAUGUUGAUAUGGAGGAUCUGGUCAUUACGAUCGGACCUAACACAUGGAAAGGAGGCUCUUCCCGUAACGGCAACGUCGGACUAUCUCCAAAGCUAUAUGAACCCCUUGAACCUGUGUUGCAGAUGUUCCAUGGAAAAAAUUCUUAAAGGGAAGAUGCCAAUGAUUCGGGAUACAACUGUCGAGGUCUCUAUUCCUCGAACCCCUCUUCACUGGCCGCGGCCGCCGACGGACCAGGCUGUUCUUUCGGUGGAUGGGGCUUUCAUGCAAGAGGACAGAUCUGCGGCGGCGGGUAUGAUACUAUGGCGUCAUGAUGGAAGUGUCAUCUUCGCGGCAUACAGGUGCAUUUUCAAUUGUAACGACGCGUUGGAAGCGGAACUGCAUGCAAUAAUGCAGGGUAUGGUCAGCAUUGUUCCCUGCCGAUUGUUGUUCAGUCAGACUCAUCCAUGGCACUAG
rnacentral:rRNA from 1 species